GAUGAACGCUGGCGGCGUGCCUAAUACAUGCAAGUCGAGCGAACAGACGAUGAGCUUGCUCCUUCGACGUUAGCGGCUGACGGGUGAGUAACACGUAGGUAACCUACCUAUAAGACUGGGAUAACUUCGGGAAACCGGAGCUAAUACCGGAUAAUAUUUCGAACCGCAUGGUUCGAUAGUGAAAGAUGGCUUUGCUAUCACUUAUAGAUGGACCUGCGCCGUAUUAGCUAGUUGGUAAGGUAACGGCUUACCAAGGCAACGAUCCGUAGCCGACCUGAGAGGGUGAUCGGCCACACUGGAACUGAGACACGGUCCAGACUCCUACGGGAGGCAGCAGUAGGGAAUAUUCCGCAAUGGGCGAAAGCCUGACGGAGCAACGCCGCGUGAGUGAUGAAGGUCUUCGGAUCGUAAAACUCUGUUAUUAGGGAAGAACAAACGUGUAAGUAACUGUGCACGUCUUGACGGUACCUAAUCAGAAAGCCACGGCUAACUACGUG
rnacentral:rRNA from 1 species